UACGUAGGGGGCAAGCGUUGUCCGGAUUCAUUGGGCGUAAAGAGCGUGUAGGCGGCCAGGUAGGUCGGUUGUGAAAACUGGAGGCUCAACCUUCAGAGGUCGACCGAAACCAUCUGGCUAGAGUCCGGGAGAGGAGAGUGGAAUUCCUGGUGUAGCGGUGAAAUGCGCAGAUAUCGGGAAGAACACCGGUGGCGAAGGCGGCUCUCUGGACCUGUCCUGACGCUCAGGCGCGAAAGCUAGGGGAGCGAACAGG
rnacentral:rRNA from 1 species